CCUACGGUGCUGCAGUGGGGAAUAUUGGACACUGGGCGAAAGCCUGAUCCAGCCAUGCCGCGUGUGUGAAGAAGGCCUUCGGGUUGUAAAGCACUUUCAGUGGGGAAGAAAGCCUUGGGGCUAAUACCCUCGAGGAAGGACAUCACCCACAGAAGAAGCACCGGCUAACUCCGUGCCAGCAGCCGCGGUAAUACGGAGGGUGCGAGCGUUAAUCGGAAUUACUGGGCGUAAAGCGCGCGUAGGCGGUCUGAUAAGCCGGUUGUGAAAGCCCCGGGCUCAACCUGGGAACGGCAUCCGGAACUGUCAGGCUAGAGUGCAGGAGAGGAAGGUAGAAUUCCCGGUGUAGCGGUGAAAUGCGUAGAGAUCGGGAGGAAUACCAGUGGCGAAGGCGGCCUUCUGGACUGACACUGACGCUGAGGUGCGAAAGCGUGGGUAGCAAACAGGAUUAGAUACCCCAGUAGUC
rnacentral:rRNA from 1 species